AUUGAACGCUGGCGGCAGGCUUAACACAUGCAAGUCGAGCGGAGAGAGGUAGCUUGCUACUGAUCUUAGCGGCGGACGGGUGAGUAAUGCUUAGGAAUCUGCCUAAUAGUGGGGGACAACAUUUCGAAAGGAAUGCUAAUACCGCAUACGUCCUACGGGAGAAAGCAGGGGAUCUUCGGACCUUGAGCUAAUAGAUGAGCCUAAGUCGGAUUAGCUAGUUGGUGGGGUAAAGGCCUACCAAGGCGACGAUCUGUAGCGGGUCUGAGAGGAUGGUCCGCCACACUGGGACUGAGACACGGCCCAGACUCCUACGGGAGGCAGCAGUGGGGAAUAUUGGACAAUGGGCGGAAGCCUGAUCCAGCCAUGCCGCGUGUGUGAAGAAGGCCUUAUGGUUGUAAAGCACUUUAAGCGAGGAGGAGGCUACUUUAGUUAAUACCUAGAGAUAGUGGACGUUACUCGCAGAAUAAGCACCGGCUAACUCUGUGCCAGCCGCCGCCGUAAUAC
rnacentral:rRNA from 1 species